GCCAGCGUGGUGUAGUGGUUUGAGUGUUGAACUAUGACUCAGAAGAACAAGGUUCGAAUCCCCGCUCAGCCA